rnacentral:rRNA from 1 species
UUUGCAAGACGAGGAACAGAGAAGGAGCUUGCUCCUUUGACGUUAGCGGCGGACGGGUGAGUAACACGUGGGCAACCUACCUUAUAGUUUGGGAUAACUCCGGGAAACCGGGGCUAAUACCGAAUAAUCUGUUUCACCUCAUGGUGAAAUAUUGAAAGACGGUUUCGGCUGUCGCUAUAGGAUGGGCCCGCGGCGCAUUAGCUAGUUGGUGAGGUAACGGCUCACCAAGGCGACGAUGCGUAGCCGACCUGAGAGGGUGAUCGGCCACACUGGGACUGAGACACGGCCCAGACUCCUACGGGAGGCAGCAGUAGGGAAUCUUCCACAAUGGGCGAAAGCCUGAUGGAGCAACGCCCCUGAAGUGAAGAAGGAUUUCGGGUCGUAAAACUUUUGUAAGGGGAAGAACAAGUUCCAGAGUAACUUGUUGUACCUUGACGGACCUUAUUAGAAAAGCCACGGGUACUACGUGGCAAAGGCCCGGGAAUACCCUGGUGGGAAGCGUGGCCCGAUUAUUUUGGCAAAAGGCCCCCCGUGGGCUUAAACUAAUUGAAAGCCCCGGUUUAACCCGGAAGGGGAUUUGAAAAACUGGGAUGGGGCAAAAAGUUGGGGCAACGGAAAAUUUUGGCCCGGAAGGGAAUUUGGGUUUACCCCUUUUGGCCAAAGGGGGAAAGUUCCCCGGCCCAAAAGUGGGGGCCCCUUCCUCCCCGGGCCCCAAAAUAA